AUGGUAGAUUUAAAGAUCGAAGGUAAGAAUGAAGAAUCUGAGGGUGUAUCUGGAGAGAAGAAUAUUGUGACCCAAGAGGUUGUUGUUGUUCAGAAUGUCAUCGACAACUCUAGUUUUGGUGUCAAGCUUGAUGGCACCAACUAUCAAUUGUGGCAGAGACUUAUGAAGAUUCAUAUUAAGGGAAUGGGAAAGUGGAGUUAUGUUGAUGGUAGCGCCGCAAGACCCGCUACAGGACCAAAAGUUGAUAAAUGGGAUACAACAAAUACUAAUGUGAUGGGAAUUCUUCUCAAAGCUAUGACUCCAGAAGUAAUGGAGUUGUUCUCUAAUUUUGAUUCUCCUAAGGCGAUUUGGGACUCUGUUGCGGCUACCUAUUAUGAUGGAAACGACUUUGCUCGUAUCCACGAAUUGAAUGUGAAAGCUUUCCAACUUACUCAGAGUGGACAACCAAUGGCAACGUUUUACGCAAGCUUGAAGGCAAUCUGGCAGGAACUUGAUCAAAGAAGUCCGAACCCCAUGACAUGUGAAGCAGAUAUCACUUCCUACCGGAACGAAAAAGACAAAAUGCGUGUUCAUGUCUUUCUUGCUGGUUUAGAUCCUCACUUUGAAGGACCGAAGAAUGAAUUAUUGCGUCUUGCAACUCCACCGACAUUGGAGCAAGCUUUUGCUUAUAUCCGAAGAGAUGAAGCCAACAAAGCAGCUGCAAAAGGUCUUCAUACUGAAAUUUCUGGUUUAGCGAUUCAUGCUACACCACCAUCUCAACCUCAGAUUGGGAAGUCUGUCCUCAUUCCAUCUCAGAACCAGUAUCAACCUCAAAAUCAGGGAUAUCAGCAGAAUCGGAGUUAUACUCAAAUAACAUGCAACUAUUGCAAAGAAGCCGGCCAUACCAAGAAUUAUUGCCCAAAGCUACAAAAGUUCACUUAUAAUCCUGGUUGGAGAGGAAGCAAUAAUGGAGGUCGUGGAGGACGUGGAGGUCGUGGUGGUGGUCAAAGAGGCAAAGCAGCAGUCCAAUUAGUGCCAGAACCUGACUUCUACGACAUUGAAGGGCAAGACCCUUCACAGGGUAAUGUUUCCUUAACAAAGGAAACACGAGGUAAAAUUGGAAUUGCUUUACAUGUUUCUGACUUUACUGGUAGUGAUACUUGGAUAAUCAAUUCUGGUAUUGGGUCCAUUCAAGUUACAUCAUCCAUUGUUUUGCAUGAUGUGCUUUAUAGUCUGUGCACCAGGGUGAUCAUUGGCAAGGGAGACCUGAGAGGGAGACUGUUUCACUUGGAUUGCAUGUACGCAGAACCAACACAAGCACCGACAAAACCUUUAGCCCUGACAUUGAAUUCUGAUCGUUUGAGUGAGUUAUGGUUGUGGCAUAGAAGAUUGGGACAUCCAUCUUUUGGGCUGAUGAAGAAGUCCAUGCCUUCGUUGUUUCUAGGAAUUCCCUUUACAGCAUUUCAUAAUCUGAUCAGUACUCAAUAUGAUGCUCAUGUUAAGGUAUUUCGUUCUGAUAAUGGGGAGAAGAGUCAGCAGACCAGUGGUCGACCGACCGGAGAGGGCUCAUCCGGCGACCGGUCGUCUGUCGUAGAACCGGCGUCAGGCGUUUCCCGGAGCACGGUCACUGAAUCAGCCGAAUCAGAUUUGUUGGGUCGGGUCCAACGAGAUUCUCCGUUGCCCAGUGGAUCGGGUUGUCCGACCAGCAGCGCUCCGUCGGAGAGAAGAGACGCCAACGACGGACCGAGACUGGACGACGGCGACGGGUUCGGCACUGACGGGAACAGCGAUCUCCAAGUAGACAACGGGAAUCUUCGGGAAGAUUCUCUGAACUUCAAUCAAGAUGGGCUGGGUAUUUUUCCGGCGUCAGAUCAGGAAGAAGUUGGGAUUGAUCGAUUGAGUAAUUCUCUGCGUUUCAAUGGCGAGCUAGUUGCGUCAACUUCUGAUCAGAAACAUACUAUGAACAGUUCUCCCUCUCCCUCACAGGUCUCUCGAGCUGGUGUCUCACCCCAGGUAGUUUCUCAAUCUUCUUCUUCUGUGUCUAGUACUGUGUCUACUCAACGACUGCCUAAUCGUGUAACUCGUGGUCAGCCUCCAAAACAUUAUGAGCCUACACUUUGUGCAAAGUCUAAAUAUCCUGUUGCUAAUUAUGUGUCAAGUCAUAGGCUGUCUAAAUCAUAUGUUGCGUUUGUGAAUCAAUUAUCUUCUGUAUCUCUACCUAGUAAAGUACAGGACGCAAUGCAGGAUGAGAGGUGGAUGCAAGCAAUGACAGUUGAGAUGGAUGCUCUUGAAAAGAAUUGUACGUGGGAGUUAGUGUCGUUACCACCUGGAAGAAACUGUUAGGUUGUCGAUGGGUUUAUACUGUGAAGCAUAACCCAUAUGGGUCGGUAGACAGGUAUAAAGCAAAGGUUAGUAGCUAAAGGCUAUACUCAGAAGUAUAGGGUGGAUUACGACGAGACGUUUGCACCAGUGGCCAAGAUUAACACAAUUCGGGUACUUCUUUCAUUAGCUGCUAACCUUGAUUGGCCUUUACGACAAUUUGAUGUUAAGAAUGCAUUCUUACAUGGUGAUCUUUAUGAGGAAGUUUAUAUGGAUUUACCUCCUGGAUAUUGUACUUCUACUGGAGAGCGGGUGGUGUGUAAAUUGAAGAAGUCUCUUUAUGGCUUGAAGCAAUCUCCUAGAGCUUGGUUUGGUCGUUUCACCAGGUUCAUGAAGAAAUUGGGUACCGGCAGAGUAACUCUGACCACACUUUAUUCCUUAAACAUCGGUGUGUAAGGUGACUGCUUUAAUCAUUUAUGUAGAUGACAUGGUUGUGACAGGUGAUGACUUUGAGGAGAUCCAAAAGUUACAAGAUCAGUUGUCUUCUGAAUUUGAGAUGAAAGAUUUGGGUAGUUUGAAAUAUUUUUUGAGAAUUGAAGUUGCUCGUGCUAAAAAUUGUAUCGUGUUGAGCCAGAGGAAAUAUGUUUUAGACUUGCUUGCAAAAACAGGUAUGCUUGAUUGUAAACCUACUAAUACUCCUAUUGAGCAGAAUCAUCGGUUAGCAGAGUAUUUGGGUCAGAUACCCACAAAUAAAGCAAGGUAUCAAAGGUUAGUUGGCCGGUUGAUUUAUUUGUCACACACUAGGCCUGAUUUAGCAUAUGCAGUUAGUGUGGUGAGUCAAUUUAUGCAUAAUCCCAGUGAGGCUCAUAUGGAAGCCGUGUUCCGUAUCUUGCGGUAUUUGAAGUCUUCUCCUGGGAAGGGAUUAAUCUUCUCUAAACACAGUCAUUUGGAUGUUUCUAGAUACACAGAUGCAGACUGGGCUGGUAACAUUACAGAUCGCAGGUCUACUUCCGGCUACUUCACAUUUGUUGGUGGUAAUUUAGUCACUUGGAAAAGCAAGAAACAGAAGGUAGUGGCUCGUUCUAGUGCUAAAGCAGAAUAUAGGGGAAUGGCCCGAGGACUUUGCGAGAUGUUGUGGUUGAGACACUCGUUGAGAGAUUUGGGAUUUCGGCAGAAGAAGACUAUGCCGCUUUAUUGUGAUAAUAAGGCUGCUAUUGAAAUUGCUCACAAUCCUGUUCAACAUGAUCGCACAAAGCACGUGGAGGUAGAUCGACAUUUCAUUAAAGAGAAGUUAGAUGGUCAGAUUAUUUUCUUUCCUUUUGUCCCUACUGAAGAACAAUUGGCUGAUAUACUUACGAAGGCUCUCUCAAGUAAAGCCUUUCAUGACUCUCUUGACAAGUUGGGCAUUUGUGAUCUGUAUGCGCCAACUUGA